rnacentral:rRNA from 1 species
GACGUAGGGUGCGAGCGUUGUCCGGAUUUAUUGGGCGUAAAGAGCUCGUAGGCGGCUCGUCGCGUCGACCGUGAAAACCCGCGGCUUAACCGCGGGCUUGCGGUUGAUACGGGCGGGCUAGAGUUCGGUAGGGGAGACUGGAAUUCUUGGUGUAGCGGUGAAAUGCGUAGAUAUCAAGAGGAACACCUGAGGCGAAGGCGGGUUGCUAGGCUGAUACUGACGCUGAGGCGCGAAAGCUAGGGUAGCAAACGGG